AUUGAACGCUGGCGGCAGGCUUAACACAUGCAAGUCGAGCGGGGUGAUGGUGCUUGCACUAUCACUUAGCGGCGGACGGGUGAGUAAUGCUUAGGAAUCUGCCUAUUAGUGGGGGACAACAUCUCGAAAGGGAUGCUAAUACCGCAUACGUCCUACGGGAGAAAGCAGGGGAUCACUUGUGACCUUGCGCUAAUAGAUGAGCCUAAGUCGGAUUAGCUAGUUGGUGGGGUAAAGGCCUACCAAGGCGACGAUCUGUGGCGGGUCUGGGAGGAUGAACCGCCACACUGGGACUGAGACACGGCCCAGACUCCUACGGGAGGCAGCAGUGGGGAAUAUUGGACAAUGGGGGGAACCCUGAUCCAGCCAUGCCGCGUGUGUGAAGAAGGCCUUAUGGUUGUAAAGCACUUUAAGCGAGGAGGAGGCUCUUUUGGUUAAUACCCAAGAUGAGUGGACGUUACUCGCAGAAUAAGCACCGGCUAACUCUGUGCCAGCCGCCGCUGUAA
rnacentral:rRNA from 1 species